AUCAUUUGCUGCCGUUUAAUCUUAAUGCGGUUUUCUGGCUCUCUAAGCCGUAAAAGAACGUAGCAGCUAAGACAUGUUACUGACUUUAGGUGUGAUGCGUUUCUAUGUGUCUGUUUGACGCAUGCUCUAAUGUUUCCUUUCUUUUUCUGCAGGGUCGCCGCUGCGGCUCCCAGUCGUCCUGCUGUCUGUCCAGGUGGAGGGCUUCGGUGGAACAAGUGUUUCUCUGGAUGUGGACCCUUGUUGGCUGUUCUUACUUUCUGUGGUGAGCUGGCUGAAGGGCGUUGCUUGCUCGCUACGUGGCUUGUCUGUCCCUUCAGGACGCCCCCCGGACAACGCUCGCGUACCUGCCUGCUGCCACUGCAGAGCUUCAGUCUGAUGCGCCUUCAGCGUGGCGUGGGGCUAUGGGGCCCAGGCCUCACGCCUAGGACGGAGCUGUGCGUGGGGAGGUGGGCCCUUCAGGGCGGUGGGCGCGCCCCCUCGGGCAAAUAUCACUGCGGUUCAAGUUUUUGAAAAGAACUCCACGAGGCGACGUGUCCGGUGCGAUGCGAGAUCCGCCGAGCCCCGGCCAGCGGGCCGUUUGCGCUUUACUUGUGUCUUACGGGAAACUUGCUCGGCACGACGCUCAAAGCCUUUCUAGUUCCAGGCACACCAACUCCAGGAAGCACCGGACGUGGCUACGCACGCGGACCACCAGGGUCAUCAGGUCGCAGGACAUCACCAUCACCGCCACCACAACCACCACCCGAGCAGUGCUGCAGACGCAGGACGCUCUCGAUCAGCGCGCAUAGGACGCGGCGCUCAAGCUAACACGGUUCGCCGCUCCCGGCCGCCUGUUCUAGGCCCGGGUAACUGUCCAGAGGAGGCAGCGGACACGGCGCGCUUCGGCCACAGGAGAUCCGUAGUACCGGGACGUGGCUACGCGGGCGACCAGGAUCACGUCGCGCGCGGCUCCACCAGCAACAGCCACGUCGCAGUCACCGUGGGACUUCCCCCACCAUAGCCGGAGGAGCGCCCCAGGACCCCGCGGCCGGGACACUCACGAGCGCAGAGGACAAGACUGCGUUGUUGGGGCGCGUUGUACAGCCGGACACGGUUCGCCGCUGCGAGGCGCCCGGUCCAGGCUUUGGUAACGAGGGGCUUUGUCGGCAAACGAGUAUUUCUACGGAUGUCCAGCUUCGUGGUUGUCCUGCUUGCUGCCGUGUGAGCUGGCUGUGUGCCGCCGUGCCCCGACGGUGCGCUCGUCUAUCCCUUCAGGCGCUCAGGGCCGGCCCUUAGUGUGACGAGCGUCUCGUACCCGCCCUCCAGCGCCACCGCUGCUGCCCCGCACCUUCAGUGCAGGUGGGCGAGCCGGCUUGCUCACCAGGGGCGGCGGUUGGUACGUGGAGUCGGCGGGGGUGGCUGGCGUGUUCACGGGCAAAUAUCGCAUAUGGUGGUCAAGUUUUUAAAAUGGACGCACGUUCGAGGCACG